rnacentral:rRNA from 1 species
UACGUAGGGGGCAAGCGUUGUCCGGAUCCAUUGGGCGUAAAGAGCUCGUAGGCGGUUCAGCAAGUCGGGUGUGAAACCUCCAGGCUCAACCUGGAGACGCCACCCGAUACUGCUGUGACUUGAGUCCGGUAGGGGACCACGGAAUUCCUGGUGUAGCGGUGAAAUGCGCAGAUAUCAGGAGGAACACCGGUGGCGAAGGCGGUGGUCUGGGCCGGAACUGACGCUGAGGAGCGAAAGCGUGGGGAGCGAACAGG